UCCCUGGUGGCUCAGAUGGUAAAGCGUCUGCCUCCAAUGCGGGAGACUCGGGUUCAAUCCCUGGGUUGGGAA
rnacentral:tRNA from 1 species